rnacentral:rRNA from 1 species
UACUGCAUAACGUCGCAAGACCAAAGUGGGGGACCUUCGGGCCUCAUGCCAUCAGAUGUGCCCAGAUGGGAUUAGCUAGUAGGUGGGGUAACGGCUCACCUAGGCGACGAUCCCUAGCUGGUCUGAGAGGAUGACCAGCCACACUGGAACUGAGACACGGUCCAGACUCCUACGGGAGGCAGCAGUGGGGAAUAUUGCACAAUGGGCGCAAGCCUGAUGCAGCCAUGCCGCGUGUGUGAAGAAGGCCUUCGGGUUGUAAAGCACUUUCAGCGGGGAGGAAGGCGGUGAGGUUAAUAACCUCACCGAUUGACGUUCCCCGCAGAAGAAGCACCGGCUAACUCCGUGCCAGCAGCCGCGGUAAUACGGAGGGUGCAAGCGUUAAUCGGAAUUACUGGGCGUAAAGCGCAC